UACGUAGGGGGCAAGCGUUGUCCGGAUUUAUUGGGCGUAAAGAGCGUGUAGGCGGCCAGGUAGGUCUGCUGUGAAAACUCGAGGCUCAACCUCGAGAUGUCGGCGGAAACCAUCUGGCUAGAGUCCGGAAGAGGAAAGGUGGAAUUCCUGGUGUAGCGGUGAAAUGCGCAGAUAUCAGGAGGAACACCGGUGGCGAAGGCGGAUCUCUGGGCCUGUUCUGACGCUGAGGCGCGAAAGCUAGGGGAGCGAACAGG
rnacentral:rRNA from 1 species